rnacentral:lncRNA from 1 species
CUUUUUUCUUAUAACCCGAACACUAUGAAAGUCAAAUGAAGAAUAAAAGCUUGUGACAUCUGAAAAUUUUAUGAAAAUGACAUUUUAGAGUCCAUAAGUAAAUGACCAUUGGGAAAAAGCCACACUUGUUCAUUUAUGUAUUGUCUGCAGCUUCUUUGGUGCUCCAGCAGCAAUGCUGAGUAGUUGUGACAGAAAUUAUAGAGCCUGCAAAGCCUAAAAUAUUUGCUAUCUGGCCCUUUACAGAAAAUGUUUGCAAAGCUCUGUGACAGAAGGAGCCUGCUGGAUUCAGAAAGAGAUCACACUUUGGAGGAGGAGAGAUGGUGGGACGCUCACAUUGCAUAGUGACUGUACCCCUCAGGCUGGCAAGACACCAAAGGGUGGCUGAAGACACCAGAGUUCUCUGCUUUCCCAAGAUCUGUGCACCCAUAGAAGCUCAGAGAGUUGGGAAGACCACUGCCAGCCUGGAUAGUGAGGGGAGACCCCUGCCUCAUCUUCUCUCAGCAUGGAGAGAGCGGUAGUUAAAUAGCGUUUACAUGAAUCAUGCAGCGUGGUGGCCAACAGUCAGCGGAGAAAGAAAUGAAUUGCAGGCUAUUUGUCACCAACAGGCUGUCCAAUCAAGCUCCUUCAUGAUUUGUAAUACAAGGUAGGCUUCAACAGGAAACAUUUAUUUUAGCUUCAUCAUUCCCUCCUCUUAAUGAUGUUUACUUUGCAAAAUGCUUCUCAUAAUUUCCUUUUUUCCCCCCAACUGCAUCCUCCUGUCAGCAUCCUCCUUUGUGCCAAGAGUACAAACAGCUCAGAGAUUCCAACUUCCUCAGAAGAAAUGUGACUCUAUUAAUUACUCUCUCAAAUGGGACUUUCAAAUCCCGCUGUAGAACUAAAUAAAAACUAAAUGAGAAAUAUCA